AUUCCAGCUCCAAUAGUGUAUAUUAAAGUUGUUGCAGUUAAAAAGCUCGUAGUUGGAUUUCUGGCGGGAGCGAUCGGUCCUUCACUCAGUGUUGGAACCUGAUUGUCUCCUGCCAUCCAUGGAGAAAACUUAUCUGGCAUUAAGUUGUCGGGUAGGCAAUCUCCAUCUUUUACUGUGAAAAAAUUAGAGUGUUCAAAGCAGGCUUAUGCCGUUGAAUAUAUUAGCAUGGAAUAAUAAGAUAGGACUAUGGUACUAUUUUGUUGGUUUGUGCACCAUGGUAAUGAUUAAUAGGGACAGUUGGGGGUAUUCGUAUUCCAUUGUCAGAGGUGAAAUUCUUGGAUUUAUGGAAGACGAACUACUGCGAAAGUAUUUACCAAGGAUGUUUUCAUUA
rnacentral:rRNA from 1 species